rnacentral:rRNA from 1 species
AUUGAACGCUGGCGGCAGGCCUAACACAUGCAAGUCGAGCGGAUGAAGCGAGCUUGCUCCUGGAUUCAGCGGCGGACGGGUGUGUAAUGCCUAUGAAUCUGCCUUGUAUUGGGGGAUAACGUCCGGAUACGGGCUCUAAUACCGCAUACGUCCUUUUUUUGAAUUUGGGGGUUCUUCGGUCCUCUCGCUUUCUUAUUAGCCUAGGUCGGAUUAGCUAGUUGGUUGGGUAAAGGCAUACCAAGGCGACGAUCCGUAACUGGUCUGAGAGGAUGAUCAGUCACACUGGAACUGAGAAACGGACCAGACACCUACGGGAGGAAGCAGUGGGGAAUAUUGGAGAAUGGGCGAAAGCGUGAUACAGCAAAGCCGCGUGAGUGAAGAAGGACUACGGAUUGUAAAGCAAUUUAAGUUGGGAGGAAGGGAAGUAAGUUAAUACCUUGCUGUAUUGACGUUACCAACAGAAUAAGCACCGGCUAACUUCGUG